UAUUGUGGACACAGUCAUAUGAAUAUAAGGAGCUGGUCAGUGCACCGUUUUCAUGAUGUUUUAACCAGUGUGGUUAAAAUCCACCAGACAAGAAGUCCUUCUAAUGUGGGAAUAUAAUAGCCCUUUUAUCUGUAUAGUCCAUUCCCCUUCUCUACAGGAAUAAAAAUUCUCCAGAUAAUGCCUUACAUCCACAGCUUUGUAUGUGUGUGCGCGAGAAGUCACUAAGGCUGAAAUGUAAUGAUUGUUUCAAGGGCCUUCCGAAAUAGUUAAGGCACUGAAUGGGAGAAGAGUGCAGAAAGCUUGGCAGAUGGAGCCAGGCAGCAUAUGCCGCGUUCACCUAAAACACGACACGGACUGAGAUGGACUUGGGACAAAGGGUAGUCAGAGGAGUGAAGCAGGUCGGUAGAGAAGAAGAUGAGCAGAAAGGCAGAAACAGCAAGAUUUGCUUCAGGUGAGACUGAAGAAUUUGAUUUUCUUGCGGAAGGCAGUAUCAGUGAAGGAUACACCCAAAUGCUCUAAAAGGUAGGGAGGUGGGCAUUUGGCUGGGGAGUUGUUUCUGUUGCAGAAAGGUCAUUGUGGAAGUUGUAGUAACUUUAGCAUCAUGUGAACUUUUACAUAUCUCUGCACAUAUGUGUAAAAUGACUCAGUGACACAGUAUGUGCAAGGAGACUAUAGCUAGAAGGAUGUCUGUGGGAAUGCCUGAGGUAUAAUUUCAAUGGGGUGUGGGAAGACAUGAUGUCCAUGGGGAUUUGCCACAGCUUUUCUGUGGUAGGAGGUCAUGCAGAAGAAGAUUUACAGCAAUGGUGCGGAGAAACUAUACGACAUUACAACCCAUCCAACGAAGAGUGUUGGCUCCAGCUUACAAACAGCUGAAUCAGUAAAUGUGGAGGCAAGAAAGUGACUUUUUUGUGCUUCCCAUGUGUUUUUUAAUAAAUGCAGAGUUCCUAUAAAAAUCUAGACCAAUUGAAGCUGCCUCUGGACUCCUGCCAGUUCUGGGUUCCUAUCAUUUGAUUUUCCUGAAACAGGCACCAUGACUCCAUUUGCAAGACAUUUCCAUUAGCAUGUUGGGCUGAUUCAACUUAUAUCCUGCCCUACUGUGUCUGACUCAUUUUUCCCCAUCUCUAGGAGAAGCCUGAGGGAAGGCAGAGGGCCCUUCACAUAGAUGCUCAAGGUCUCUAUCAGAUAAUAGCUGAAGAAAUAUUUGCCAUGACCGCGCUAUGGUCAUUUUUUGCCAUUCCUUAGUCACUUGGCAGCCAAUGGAGGGAAGAGGCGAGAGCAGGGUGGGGGAGAGUAAAUGAGACAGAGGGACAAGAACAAAAGAUUCUUUUGUGGUACAGAGAGAGAGAAAAGGGAAAGCAUCACCAAAUGCCCAGAAGCCAUGUUUGUAACAAGAGACCUAUUCUCUCAGUUACUUGGAAAACAACUUGGAGUAAAAGGCCCUGGUUGAAUUAACCCUUCAUGGAGGCGACUUACUGAGCGUGCAGGAAAGAGGCAUGGCCAUGGGAGGCGUAAUCUGUGUGGUAAGGUAGCGGUGUUGGCUCUUGGGCAAUUUAAAGCAAGGAUUCAUUGUCUGGGAAGAGGAGGUAGGGAUGACGUUGGGUGGUUUGACCAUACCAAAGUUUUAAAAUGUCAGAUGUCCUUUCUUUAUAGGAGCUUUGGUUUUGGCAAAGGUCACUAGAGGGUUUUUUGCAGCAUAUGAGGCGAUGACUCUUUUCCAUUGACAUUUUUUCUAGGGCCGCUGGCACCUAGGACUGUGGAGAAAGAAAGGAAAGGAAAGGAAAAUACCACCCCUAAAAUAUAUGUUUUACUGCAGCAUAAUCUUGUACCAUCACAGCCUCUGUGAAUUCAGUUCCUAUUGUUGGCCUUCAAAAACUCUGUUCUCACACCUUGCAUCUCUCUUGCUCCUUUUAGACCUCCCUUUGGCUGAGAAGAACUAUUUUGCUGGAGUUAGGGGUUCUCUAUACAAAUGAAUUGAAGGGAGGACAAAUCCCCCAUCCCCAAAGAAACAACCAGCUCUAUUUCAUUGUGAACACUCUCCCUUAGCCUAUUCCCUGCUCUUUCUAAGGAGGAUUCCUCUUUUAUUGAGUGGAUCUGUGGGUGAAAGGGGACUUCUGUGAUGAUGGUACGAGAAAAAGUUCUACCCAAGGAAAGAGAAUCUGCACCUGUUUGAAGAACAAAUAUGGGCUAUCAGCAUAAGGCCAGGUCAGUUUGUAUCUGAGCUUGCUUCUGGGUACUCUGCAAAUUAAAAGAAGUGAGACAGCCAGAUCUGAAAUAAAAGCUUUUUCUCCCCAUGACAGUACAGAAGUGACAGUACCUUGCCUCUGGAGCCUCCUCACAUAAGUGCCAGGCAAAGGGAAGAAAAGAGCAGUUUGGAAAUGGAAAGACAGUCCUCCCCUCUGCUUCCUCAUCUCACCGGGACGGGAGCAGUGUCCACCCAUCAUGGGUCAACCUUUGGCGCAGAUGAGGAGGAUGCAGUGGGUGCCCAUGGAGCCGCAGUCAGAGAUCCAUCUGGAUUUGAGUCAAGAAGAUCUGCUGGAGGCAAAACAAUAGGGUGCAAGGUGCGGGAGAGAACUAAAGAAUGAGUGCGUCUGUAUCGGUACAACGUGCAGGGCGUUUCAGGGGGACCAAUCCUGUUAACCUGUUUGAGAUAAAGUGCCACAAGCUCUUAAAGCCAUGGUGACCUCUGUAAGAUCCAGACAUUUUUAUCUGAAAACACAUUUCAAGUGUCUCAGAGCUGAGCUUGUUGCCUUGCAGCUGGCACAUCCUGGUUCACCCCCUUACUGGGUUAGACUUUGAGUGCAACUGGACAGGCUAGACUAUACUAGUCCCUGAAUGGAGUGUGGCUUGAAUUUGGUCAGAAUGGCCUGGGUAUGGCUGGCUUGGCCUGAGUUACACUGGCUUUGAUCCGACUGAGCUACACUUACACAGACUGAGUGAAAUCUGAAUGCGGGUUUGAGAUGGCAGCUUGUGAUAGGCACGUUCUGGGUAGGCUAGACUGGACCGGGUUAGCUGCCUUAGAGUGUGUUGAAUUUGGAGCUGAAAAUGGGACUGGUUUGGACUGAGUUAAUAUUUACGGUGGAUGGGAGUGGGCUGAUGGGAAGAGUUUGCCUGGAUACAGUGCUGCUGAAAUGGGGUAAGUGACUUCACUGUGGCUGGUUUAAAAGCCUUGUUUCACUUAUACCAGCACCUGCUGCCUCAUCUGGGAAGCCAUUUGCUGGACCAACUUUCCAUGGAUAGGAAAAAGAUUAUUCAGCAAGUGCUGAAAUGGGAUCCCCAAAAGGCUAACAAAAAUCUUUAGUUCCUCAGUGUCCAGCUGCUCCAGGCCAUCUCCUUCUCCCACAACCUGUGAGUGGUUCAUGCCAGAACAUCUGCAUCUUCUUCCCGAUCUGGUCCACCAGGUCAAAUCUGUUCAUCACUCAACAUCCUAGCCUUAAAAAGGAAAACCCCCGUCUGAGAAAUUCCCCAACGAGGGAUGGCUACCAGUGUUUGAAGUGAGGAAAUAGGACCUGAAAACCUCACACGUGACUUCUUUUUUAAUGACUAGGUUUCCUUGAUAGUGCAAAAUUUCAUGCGCUCUAAUAUGGUGUGUGUAAUGCAUUGCCACAGUGUUCUUUAUCGAGGGGAUAAAAUAAAUACUUGACCUGGACACAGGAUUAAUCCCCAAGUAAAGGAAAAUUCAGACUGUUUCCAAAUAAACGAUGUCUCAACAUAAAAGACUGUACCUGGACAAUCUGGCAAGUCAGUCUAGGUGACAGUGCUGCCAAAUCCCUUCCCUUCUCACUUGUUCUGGCUCUGCUUUAAAAAAAAACAGAAAGAAAUGUGUAGCGAUGGGUAGGAGAUGGUGUGGUCCUGGGGAGAAGCAGAGCCCCAUCUCCUUGCACAGCUAGCAGAGAGUGGAGCAGGAGAGCGGAGGGUAGCACAGCGCUGUACAGCUGCAGGGCUGCUCACAACAGGGCAGAGCUCCCGGAGAAUGCGCUCUUUGUUCCCUGCCUUUAAAGGACCAUCGCUGGCAGACAAGUGAUUCCUUGAACUUCCCUGGGGUUCGCAAAGCAAAACCUAAUGGUAAGAUUCUUGGCAACUGCUCAGACUGUGAAGUUCAUGGCGAGUGCCACAGUCCUGUCCCUGCCCCAAGGGAUGUCACUGAAAGCAGAGUCAGGGCCACUAUGAGCACAGCUGAGAGCUCAGUGUCCAAGGAGCAUCUCCCACACUGUCUGGGAUGAGAUGUCCUCUUCGUGUGCAUGAUGAGAAUUUAUUUUCUCUUCCAUUAUCUGCUGAUGUGGAAGGAGAGGUGCUCCCUGCUGCAAACUACAGUGCUUUGCAGGCACAGCCUUGAGGCAACCUGACUGGUCCUCAUUACUACCCCCUGAAUGCUCUGCGGUUUGAUCCAGAUGCCGCUCUCAGGGCAUGCAGCUCAGGCUAGACUUUGCCUUUGGGGAUGCUCACGGGUGCACUUGCCUGCUAUAAAUCCAGGUCCCGGUGCUCUGUCCUUUCUGUGACGUGACAUGACCUACUCUGGGCAGACAAGAGCAUCUCCUUCAAAGUCACCAGUGCCACCGGCUCCAAGGGCUGAUGAGACUGGUAGGUAGCCUUAGGUUAGGCAAAGUUUACACUGCCCAUGAGAAAAAAAGAGAGACGUGAGAGUCUCAGAAGGGGAUUUGGCUUUGACACAUUCCUGUGACUGUCCAGCUCAGGUGCAGGGUUGACGUUGCCACCGCUUCAUGCUGGCACAGACAAACCGUACUCUGUUUCCAAGUUGCUGCUAAACUCAUUGUGUGACCAGAUUUUUCCAAGGACAACCCUGUAACUCUUCAGGUUUGUAAUCCAGAAGCUCUAUGAAGUUCCCUCUCACUGGACUGGAGGAAGGGAAGGACAGGUGGACCUGGAUGUUUUAGCUGAACAAGUAGUGAUACUGACUGCUGGUGGGAAUUAUUCAUUCUUUCUUUUCAGAGGUUACAUGAAGAUGCUUUGGAUGACACUGGUUAUGGAGGUACCUGCUGGCUAUGGAACAGUGUCUGACUGGGGGAAGCCAGCACUAGGUUUGAGAACUUCCUAUAGCGGAGAAGCUGAUCAGACUUGUGUUGGAGAAGGAGUGUGAUGGGCAGAGGAGGAGGAGCAACAAAAAAGAUGGGACAAUACAGCCAUUGAUGAACUGCUCUCGUCCUCCCAUCCCGAUCCCCCCCACUCCCUCCCUCCCCUCCUCUGGUGCGUGCCAACACUCUUUCCACCCGCCCAGGGCUGGAGCCAGCGCCAAACAACCUCUGCUAAUAAACAAGAGGAACCAGAUAAACCAGGAACACAAUAGAGGGAUUUGUUGCACUUUAGUGAUGGUGGGAACAAUGUCAAC